AACGAACGCUGGCGGCAUGCCUAACACAUGCAAGUCGAACGAGAUCUUCGGGUCUAGUGGCGCACGGGUGCGUAACGCGUGGGAAUCUGCCCUUUGGUUCGGAAUAACAGUUGGAAACGACUGCUAAUACCGGAUGAUGACGAAAGUCCAAAGAUUUAUCGCCAGAGGAUGAGCCCGCGUAGGAUUAGCUAGUUGGUGUGGUAAAGGCGCACCAAGGCGACGAUCCUUAGCUGGUCUGAGAGGAUGAUCAGCCACACUGGGACUGAGACACGGCCCAGACCCCUACGGGAGGCAGCAGUGGGGAAUAUUGGACAAUGGGCGAAAGCCUGAUCCAGCAAUGCCGCGUGAGUGAUGAAGGCCUUAGGGUUGUAAAGCUCUUUUACCCGGAAUGAUAAUGACAGUACCGGGAGAAUAAGCUCCGGCUAACUCCGUGCCAGCCGCCGCAGUAA
rnacentral:rRNA from 1 species